AUAUACAAUAAAGAAGGUUACUCAACUAGGAAAUGAUCAUAAUAUAUGAUUAACAUGAUGAUGAGGCAGCUAUUAUGGGUGACCUUACGCUUGUUCUGUCUUGUUCUUAUUCUCUUCCAAUAUCCCUCCUUUGCUCAACGCGGUCCCUCAUCGGUGCCGUCGCCGGUUCCUAGAGGUCGUGCUGAUCACACUCCGAAUAAAGCCCCUUCACCCCCAAAAGGAGCUGGGCCUAAGAAUCCAUAAGAACAUCAGAUGCCUUAUAAUUUAUAAUUAAUUGUUGUAUAAUUAAUCCAUAAGAUCAUAUAGCUAGUGAUUUAAACUAUUGUGUUCGCAUAAAAUUAAUACUUCAACAUGAAUAAAUAUAUAUAUAUAUAUAUAUAUUCAUCUUUAUUUUGUUAAGAACAAAUAUGUGAUCACUCUUAAGUUUGCGUUAUUAAUGUCUGAUUUCUUCUUUCCCACAAUUAUAAUAUGAUCAACAUAGGAGAAUAAAUAGAGUAACAACUUUUAUUAAAUCUAACUCUAGUCAUAAACUCAUCAAAUUUAAGAUUUCAUUGUCUAAUAAGAACUUGUCUCAGACCAUGCAGUGAUUUUUGUAUCAGGCAUA